rnacentral:rRNA from 1 species
UAGGGAAUCUUCGGCAAUGGGGGCAACCCUGACUGAGCAACGCCGCGUGAGUGAAGAAGGUUUUCGGAUCGUAAAGCUCUGUUGUAAGAGAAGAACGUGUGUGAGAGUGGAAAGUUCACACAGUGACGGUAACUUACCAGAAAGGGACGGCUAACUACGUGC